rnacentral:rRNA from 1 species
ACUUUACAAUGCGGGAAACCGUGAUAAGGGGGCACCGAGUGCUAGCAUCAUAUGCUGGCUGUCCAGGUGUGUAAAAUACACCUGUUAGCAAGGGCCGGGCAAGACCGGUGCCAGCCGCCGCGGUAACACCGGCGGCCCGAGUGGUGAUCGUGAUUAUUGGGUCUAAAGGGUCCGUAGCCGGUUUGGUCAGUCCUCCGGGAAAUCUGACAGCUCAACUGUUAGGCAUUCGGGGGAUACUGCCAGACUUGGGACCGGGAGAGGUAAGAGGUACUACAGGGGUAGGAGUGAAAUCUUGUAAUCCCUGUGGGACCACCUGUGGCGAAGGCGUCUUACCAGAACGGGUUCGACGGUGAGGGACGAAAGCUGGGGGCACGAACCGG